AGAGUUUGAUCCGGCUCAGGACGAACGCUGGCGGCGUGCUUAACACAUGCAAGUCGAGCGAUGAAGCUUCCUUCGGGAAGUGGAUUAGCGGCGGACGGGUGAGUAACACGUGGGUAACCUACCUCAAAGUGGGGGAUAGCCUCCCGAAAGGGAGAUUAAUACCGCAUAAUAUAAGAAAAUCGCAUGAUUAUCUUAUCAAAGAUUUAUCGCUUUGAGAUGGACCCGCGGCGCAUUAGCUAGUUGGUGGGGUAACGGCCUACCAAGGCAACGAUGCGUAGCCGACCUGAGAGGGUGAUCGGCCACAUUGGAACUGAGACACGGUCCAGACUCCUACGGGAGGCAGCAGUGGGGAAUAUUGCGCAAUGGGGGAAACCCUGACGCAGCAACGCCGCGUGGGUGAUGAAGGUCUUCGGAUUGUAAAGCCCUGUUUUCUGGGACGAUAAUGACGGUACCAGAGGAGGAAGCCACGGCUAACUACGUGCCAGCAGCCGCGGUAAUACGUAGGUGGCGAGCGUUGUCCGGAUUUACUGGGCGUAAAGGGUGCGUAGGCGGAUGUUUAAGUGGGAUGUGAAAUCCCCGGGCUUAACCUGGGGGCUGCAUUCCAAACUGGAUAUCUAGAGUGCAGGAGAGGAAAGCGGAAUUCCUAGUGUAGCGGUGAAAUGCGUAGAGAUUAGGAAGAACACCAGUGGCGAAGGCGGCUUUCUGGACUGUAACUGACGCUGAGGCACGAAAGCGUGGGUAGCAAACAGGAUUAGAUACCCUGGUAGUCCACGCCCGUAAACGAUGGAUACUAGGUGUAGGGGGG
rnacentral:rRNA from 1 species